rnacentral:lncRNA from 1 species
UAAGAAACAUAUGGUUAUCAGAACGUUGUGUGCUAGCUGGGUAACCUAUAUUCUUGUAAAAUCGAGUGAUGUUGUUUAUAAUCCACCAGAAGGCCUUUAUUUAAUCCUAGCCAGAAUUUUAGCAUUUUCAAUAAAAAAUACUAGCUAUUUAAUGGAUGUGUCCUGGCAGAUAAUGGCUGGAAAAAAAUACUCAAUAGGCUAAUUCAGUUUCAGUAUAAUCUACUAGUAUUAUUUUCAUGUGAUAUAAUAGACGUUAUAAACUGUUAAAUUAGCAUACCUAAUUAGCCGGUUUCCAAUUUGGAAUCUGUCGUUAUAUUAUUCACAUCCACGCGCUUUCAGGACAGAAUUUCACAGGGCUUUCCUUACGGUAUUCAGAGCAUAAAAUAAGACAUUUCCCUUUUAAGACGGUGAGUUUACUGUAGUUUAGGCCAAAUAUUAUACAGGCUAGUUUAGGAAAAAUGUGUGGUCGCCUAAACAAAAGUUUAGACAUACAUAGAUGGUUUGGAUUAAAUCGAUUACACAACAGUCUCUAAAAACAGUUCGGUGUGUUUCGAUCAGAAACGAUGCCUCUGUUUGACAAGUCUUGGCUCCAAAAGAGUGUCCGCUUCGUGGGCGUAGGCGUGAACCUAUUCAAGUACAGUAAGUAACAGCAAUGGAAUUGGGUGAAAGGAUUGUUUGCUUCAGCUGUCAGAAAAGGGAAUAUGGAGAGCUGUGAAAGCCUGUCUGUAGAUGAAGAGGUCCCAGUGAAUGUCCCAAGAGAUUGCUGGCACAUCCUUGUAUGCCAUGGGUUGUAUGUGUAUUUAUGUUAACAAAUGUUGUAUACAACAAUACAGUUAAAAGUCACACAGAAUGUAGGCUACAAACUUAUUACAACUGUAGCAGGCCAAUCCUUCUCCUGGAGGUAUGCUGGGUGUGCACGCUUUUGUUCAAGCCCAGCACUAACACCUGAUUCAAACCUAUUGAGUUGAGAAUGUGUAUUUUUGCUGGGCUGGAAUACUGCUCACCCAGUAUAUCAGGGAGUGGAGCAAGGUUGGCAACCUCUGGUAUGGCUUUUUUGUACACCUGAAAUUAGGCUUUAGUAAUAAUAUCCUACUUACUAAGAUGUCUAACAUUUACAAACACGUUUUGUACAAACUUGUACAUUUUUAAAUUCAAUGUUGAUUCAUUGAAGUGUUUAAACUGGUUUUAAUUGUUAACUUAAAACAUUCAAGUUGUGGCAAUGUUCAUUCAUGACAGAACACAAUUCUGCAAUAAAAAGGUGUGAAGAGGAUCUGUCUCUAAUUUGUCUGUUUCUGUGUUGCUUUCGUGAAGUAACAUUACCUUUUUGUCCAGUUGUGAGCUCUCCAAUCGGUUUUAUUUGAUUGUCACUCUCAGGAUAUCAGCCAUGUGAACCCAUUUUGCAGCUUAUCAUAAUGGCAUGCAUCACCAAUGCAGCCAUAGGCCUAACGUUUGAUGGCAUUACUGGCCUAAUGGGCAUGUCCAUCAACGUGCCCCUUGUCAUUGUACAUCUAAUGCAGCUCUACGGACAAUUUCUUUGACCUCGUGGCUUGGUUUUUGCUCUGACAUGCCUUGUUAACUGUGGGACCUUAUAUAGACAGGUGUGUGUGCCUUUCCAAAUCAUGUCCAAUCAAUUGACUUUACCACAGGUGGACUCCAAUCAAGUUGUAGAACCAUCCCAAGGAUGAUCAAUGAAAACAGGAUGCACCUGAGCUCAAUUUUGAUUCUCAUAGCAAAGGGUCUGAAUACUUAUGUAGAUAAGGUAUUUCUGUUUU